UCUCGCCGCGCCGACGCCGCCGUCGCCACGGCAACGCGGCCAUACUGCGCCGGACAGACCCAGUUCCCUGGUGCUGCGGCCCGGCGUGGGCCUCGUGGGCAGAGCCAGGGGCAGAGCCAGAGCCAGAGCCAUGGACAGCCUCUUCGUGGAGGAGGUGGCCGCCUCCUUGGUCAGGGAGUUCCUCAGCAGAAAGGGCUUAAAGAAGACAUGUGUGACCAUGGACCAGGAACGCCCACGCUCUGACCUCAGCAUAAACAACAGAAAUGAUCUUCGAAAGGUUUUGCAUCUCGAAUUUCUCUAUAAGGAGAACAAGGCAAAGGAAAAUCCUCUAAAAACAAGCCUUGAACUCAUCACCAGAUACUUUCUGGAUCACUUUGGAAAUACGGCUAACAAUUUCACUCAAGAUACCCCAAUCCCUGCACUCUCAGUUCCAAAGAAAAAUAACAAAGUGCCAUCAAGAUGCUCAGAGACUACACUGGUAAAUAUAUAUGACCUUUCAGAUGAAGAUGCAGGAUGGAGAACAUCAUUGUCAGAAACAAGCAAAGCCAGACAUGACAAUCUUGAUGGAGAUGUACUUGGUAAUUUUGUAUCAUCUAAAAGGCCCCCGCACAAAAGUAAGCCCAUGCAGACGGUCCCGGGUGAAACUCCUGUGUUGACUUCUGCAUGGGAGAAGAUGGACAAGCUUCACUCGGAGCCUUCCUUGGAUGUGAAGAGGAUGGGAGAGAAUUCCAGGCCAAAGUCUGGUCUGAUUGUGCGAGGCAUGAUGUCUGGGCCCAUCGCCAGCUCCCCACAGGAUUCUUCUCACAGACACUCUCUGAGACGGUCCUCACCGUCAAGCAGCUCCACCCAACCCCAAGAAGAGAGCCGGAAGGUCCCUGAGCUCUUUGUCUGCACCCAACAGGACAUUCUGGCUUCGAGCAACAGCUCCCCCUCCAGGACCUCCCUGGGUCAGCUUAGUGAACUGACCGUAGAAAGGCAGAAAACCACUGCCAGCAGCCCUCCCCAUCUGCCCAGCAAACGGCUGCCCCGAUGGGACAGGGCCAGGCCGAGGGAUCCCUCCGAGGACACCCCAGCAGUGGACGGCAGCACAGACACGGACAGGAUGCCCUUGAAGCUCUACUUGCCUGGUGGUAAUUCCAGGAUGACCCAGGAGAGGCUGGAAAGAGCGUUCAAACGGCAGGGCAGCCAGCCCGUACCUGUCAGGAAAAAUCAGUUGCUGCCGUCUGACAAGGUGGAUGGUGAGCUGGGUGCCCUGCGGCUCGAGGAUGUGGAGGAUGAGUUGAUAAGGGAAGAGGUCAUCCUGUCGCCAGUCCCAUCAGUGCUCAAGUUGCAGACAGCAUCAAAACCAAUCGACCUCUCAGUAGCAAAGGAAAUAAAGACCCUUCUGUUUGGUUCCAGCUUUUGCUGUUUCAAUGAAGAAUGGAAACUUCAGAGUUUUUCCUUUAGUAACACAGCCUCGUUAAAAUACGGCAUAGUGCAGAACAAGGGUGGUCCUUGCGGAGUCCUGGCAGCUGUCCAAGGCUGUGUCCUACAGAAACUCCUGUUUGAAGGAGAUAGCAGAGCCGACUGUGCUCGGGGACUGCAGCCUUCAGAUGCCCACCGGACCCGCUGCCUCGUCCUGGCCCUCGCAGACAUUGUGUGGCGGGCAGGGGGCCGAGAGAGAGCCAUUGUUGCACUGGCUUCGAGAACACAGCAGUUCAGUCCAACAGGGAAAUACAAAGCAGAUGGAGUCUUAGAAACACUUACGCUUCACAGUUUGACCUGCUAUGAGGACCUGGUGACUUUUCUUCAACAAAGCAUUCAUCAGUUUGAAGUGGGCCCCUAUGGCUGCAUCCUGCUCACCCUUUCUGCCAUCCUGUCCAGGUCUACAGAGCUCAUCCGCCAGGACUUUGAUGUCCCCACCAGCCACCUGAUUGGAGCACAUGGCUACUGUACACAGGAACUUGUCAAUCUGCUCCUGACUGGGAAAGCUGUGUCCAACGUUUUCAACGAUGUGGUUGAGCUGGAUUCUGGGGAUGGGAACAUCACACUUCUCAGAGGCAUUGCUGCACGCAGUGAUGUUGGCUUCUUAUCUCUCUUUGAGCAUUACAACGUGUGCCAGGUUGGCUGCUUCCUGAAGACCCCGAGGUUCCCCAUCUGGGUGGUUUGCAGUGAGAGCCACUUCAGCAUCCUCUUUAGCCUGCAGCCGGGGCUCCUGCGUGACUGGAGGACUGAGAGGCUCUUUGACUUGUACUACUACGAUGGCCUGGCCAACCAGCAGGAGCAGAUCCGGCUGACCAUUGGUGUGGGCCCUCACCCCCCACCCCCACCCAACCCUGUCCCCAAGGAGCCUCCAGGCUGGUCACAGAAACCAGCCUUCCUAUCCACCACCAACCCCCAUGACAGAGAGCAGUGCAGACUCCAGCAUCCAGACUGGGGGAUCAGAGAGCCAAUGCCAGCAGGGCCUCCCUGCAGGAGGUGGCCAGAGCUGGGCCUUGAGCAACACCACCCAAACCAUCUCUGAGGACACAGACAACGACCUUGUCCCACCCCUCGAGCUCUGCAUCAGAACCAAGUGGAAGGGGGCAUCAGUGAACUGGAACGGCUCAGACCCCAUCCUGUGACGGUUGGAUGUGGGUAAACCCUGUGGUCCACCACUCAUCACCUCAUCACCGAGGAUAACAGCUGAACCCCAAGCCUCUGGGGCAAGUCUCAUGCACCCCAACCUGGGUCAGCAUGGCUGCAGAAGCAUCCAGAGCCUCCCUGCCCCUUCCCUGAAGGGCCCACCCAAGACUGUGCUGGGGACCCAGUGUGUUGCUGGUUCCCCUCCCAGCUGAGCUGUGACUGCUGAGUACUGGAAGGAGGUUGCCAGGGUCUCUGCUACCUUUGUCUGCAUCCCUCCCUUGCUCCCCGCUGGGUGGUCCCUCACCCAGGCCUCCAAUGUGGUUGGCCCUGGGCACUCAUUACUUCUGGUAGCUGGCUUUCUAUAAAAUGAGUCAAACCCA